CUCCCUUAGUUGUCCAUUGAUACAAUGAGCCUCGUUAAAACCUUAUUAAGGAAAAACCUUAUGGGAAGAAAAAUUUUAGUGAAGGAAAAAGAGUACACAUAUAUUAUUACACACAUUAUUUUCUGCCUCGUUAAAAACCUUGCCAGGAAACCCAUUUGGGACAAAACCUAGGCCAAGGGAAAAAGAGUGCAACAUGUACUAUACUCCCUCGAUGCAAACAUCAUUUUAUUUCUCAAAGAUGGCGCAUCCCAAUCUUGAAUAUUAUCUUCGCAAAUGUUGAGGUUGGUAAUGAUUUAGUGAACAAGUCUACCAAAUUAUUAGCCAAACGAAUUUGGUGAACAUCUAUUUCACCUUUCAUCUCAAGAUCAUGAGUGAAAUUUUUUUUUUGGUGAAAU
rnacentral:lncRNA from 1 species